rnacentral:rRNA from 1 species
CACGUAGGUUGUUAUGUAAGUUGAGUGUGAAAUCCCUCGGCUCAACCGAGGAACUGCGCUCAAAACUACAUAACUAGAGUACAGGAGAGGAGAGUGGAAUUCCCAAUGUAGCGGUGGAAUGCGUAGAUAUUGGGAGGAACACCAGUGGCGAAGGCGUCUCUCUGGACUGAUACUGACACUGAGGUGCGAAAGCUAGGGGAGCAAACG